GACGAACGCUGGCGGCGCGCUUAACACAUGCAAGUCGAACGCUGAAGCUCAGCUUUUGUUGGGUGGAUGAGUGGCGAACGGGUGAGUAACACGUGAGUAACCUGCCUCCUUCUUUGGGAUAACGCCCGGAAACGGGUGCUAAUACUGGAUAUUCACUGGUCUUCGCAUGGGGGUUGGUGGAAAGGGUUUUUCUGGUGGGGGAUGGGCUCGCGGCCUAUCAGCUUGUUGGUGGGGUGAUGGCCUACCAAGGCUUUGACGGGUAGCCGGCCUGAGAGGGUGACCGGUCACAUUGGGACUGAGAUACGGCCCAGACUCCUACGGGAGGCAGCAGUGGGGAAUACUGCACAAUGGGCGCAAGCCUGAUGCAGCGACGCCGCGUGAGGGAUGGAGGCCUUCGGGUUGUGAACCUCUUUCGCUCAUGGUCAAGCCGCAACAAUGGUUGUGGUGAGGGUAGUGGGUAAAGAAGCGCCGGCUAACUACGUG
rnacentral:rRNA from 1 species